ACGUAACACAUUUUACACAUUUUCCGCAUUCCACGCCCCGCCCUUCAACAACAACAACCACAAACUCCGACCGUCCUUUCCAGGCCCUUUCCCUCUAUAAACCUGCCGUUUUCUGUCUCCCAAGUCAUCCCAGUUUAGAACUGCUCCAGGAAAUAAUGAAUGAACAGAGAGAGCCUAGUUUGUUUAUUUAUUUACAAUCCACCAGUCUAAUCUAGUUUAGAUCCAGCGGCAAUUUUUGGGGUGCCAAGGAGGAAAGAAGGAGAUGGCAGUGCGGGGACAGGGCAGAGCCUGGGCCAAAGGAAGCCACACCCAGUUCUUGCCCUGCCCUGCCCGACACAGGCAACGUGACCCCAAGCGACAGCCAGCUGAUGCUUGCUUCUCCGAGCCCGGCGGUCAGCGGCCGGAAGUAGCCCGCCCGGGGGCGGGGAAAGGUGCCUUAAGGAGGAGCUAGGGGCGUGCGGCCAAUUGCAAGCGACUGUCCUAGCGAAGAGGGCGGAAGAGGAGAGAUCCAGUUCCGGACGCGGCCGCCGCCGUCGCCGCCGUCGCCGCCAUCUGUCACCUGCGCUCCGACAUCAGCAGCUAGUCGCCCGUGUCCCGCCUGUCUCCUCGGCGGAGCCUGCUGCCCGUCCUGCCACCUCUCUGCUCUGUUCUUGUCUCUGCCUUCAUCCCCGAAUGGAUCUGGUAGGAGUGGCAUCGCCUGAGCCCGGGACGGCAGCGGCCUGGGGACCCAGCAAGUGUCCAUGGGCUAUUCCUCAAAAUACAAUAUCUUGUUCUUUGGCUGAUGUAAUGAGUGAACAGCUGGCCAAAGAAUUGCAGUUAGAAGAAGAAGCUGCCAUUUUUCCUGAAGUUGCUGUUGCUGAAGGACCAUUUAUUACUGGAGAAAACAUUGAUACUUCCAGUGACCUUAUGCUGGCUCAGAUGCUACAGAUGGAAUAUGACAGAGAAUAUGAUGCACAGCUUAGGCGUGAAGAAAAAAAAUUCAAUGGAGAUAGCAAAGUUUCCAUUUCCUUUGAAAAUUAUCGAAAAGUGCAUCCUUAUGAAGACAGCGAUAGCUCUGAAGAUGAGGUUGACUGGCAGGAUACUCGUGAUGAUCCCUACAGACCAGCAAAACCGGUUCCCACUCCUAAAAAGGGCUUUAUUGGAAAAGGAAAAGAUAUCACCACCAAACAUGAUGAAGUAGUAUGUGGGAGAAAGAACACAGCAAGAAUGGAAAAUUUUGCACCUGAGUUUCAGGUAGGAGAUGGAAUUGGAAUGGAUUUAAAACUAUCAAACCAUGUUUUCAAUGCUUUAAAACAACAUGCCUACUCAGAAGAACGUCGAAGUGCCCGCCUACAUGAGAAAAAGGAGCAUUCUACAGCAGAAAAAGCAGUUGAUCCUAAGACACGUUUACUUAUGUAUAAAAUGGUCAACUCUGGAAUGUUGGAGACAAUCACUGGCUGUAUUAGUACAGGAAAGGAGUCUGUUGUCUUUCAUGCAUAUGGAGGGAGCAUGGAGGAUGAAAAGGAAGAUAGUAAAGUUAUACCUACAGAAUGUGCCAUCAAGGUAUUUAAAACAACCCUUAAUGAGUUUAAGAAUCGUGACAAAUAUAUUAAAGAUGAUUUCAGGUUUAAAGAUCGCUUCAGUAAACUAAAUCCACGUAAGAUCAUCCGCAUGUGGGCAGAAAAAGAAAUGCACAAUCUCGCAAGAAUGCAGAGAGCUGGAAUUCCUUGUCCAACAGUUGUACUACUGAAGAAACACAUUUUAGUUAUGUCUUUUAUUGGCCAUGAUCAAGUUCCAGCCCCUAAAUUAAAAGAAGUAAAGCUCAAUAGUGAAGAAAUGAAAGAAGCCUACUAUCAAACUCUUCAUUUGAUGCGGCAGUUAUAUCAUGAAUGUACGCUUGUCCAUGCUGACCUCAGUGAGUAUAACAUGCUGUGGCAUGCUGGAAAGGUCUGGUUGAUUGAUGUCAGUCAGUCAGUAGAACCUACCCACCCUCACGGCCUGGAGUUCUUGUUCCGGGACUGCAGGAAUGUCUCGCAGGUAGACGUGUAAACCAAUAUGCCUUCUUUUGUUGGAUGUAACAGCUGCAGUUUUUCCAGAAAGGAGGAGUCAAGGAAGCCCUUAGUGAACGAGAACUCUUCAAUGCUGUUUCAGGCUUAAACAUCACAGCAGAUAAUGAAGCUGAUUUUUUAGCUGAGAUAGAAGCUUUGGAGAAAAUGAAUGAAGAUCACGUUCAGAAGAAUGGAAGGAAAGCUGCUUCAUUUUUGAAAGAUGAUGGAGACCCACCACUACUAUAUGAUGAAUAGCACUAAUAUCCACUGCUUCAGUGUUAACACAGCAGUGAUUGUCAGCUGCCAAUAGCAAAUGAAGUUAUGGGUGACUUGAAAUACCAAAACAUGAGGAGUGGGCAAUGGUGCUUCUGUGCUUUUCCCCCUUGUAACCCAUGUGCCAGAUGUGUGGAAUUUUUAGCUCAGCAUUGAGAGAAUAAAAUGUCACUACCUCUCAUCUUAUGAACAGGAUAAUAUAAUUCUUUAACAGCUAUAGGUUAUCUGGCUGAAGUAGACCUAAUUUUAUGUGACUUGUGGUGUAAAAUGUCUUGAUGAUAAUUUUUGAAACUUGGGUAACACUUCCAAAUAUGGGAGGAAAGGACAGAUGUGUUUACAAGGGAGGAUUUUACAACAUACUUGCUUUAUUCACCUCCCUGUUUUGUGUUGCGUCUUUCCUUGAAUAUUUUAUUGGCCCAGAGUUAGCCUUUCUCAAUUAUGUUUCCAGACUGUGGCCAUGAUUCUAAAGGAAAAUGUGUGCUCUUUAGUGGGUAGAACAAAUGGAAAUUUGGUUUCAGAAUGGCUGACAGAAAUCGACAUAAGUCAUGUAAUUUUUGUUGAUAUAUCAUGAAAAUGAACAGAAUUCUUUUUCCAUACUUACAUCUAAGAAAAGGCAUCAUAGGUUUCUGAGAGAGAUAACUAUAUAACAGCUUUUUAAUUAUCCAGUCAACUUUCAGCUUUUCUACAUUUAGGUAAAAUGGUUAGGAUAUAACUCAUGGUGUGGCUAAUCUACAUUUAUCAAUAAAAUGUAAAUUAUCUGAAAGGACAGAAUAUAAGAUUUAACCAUGUUUGAUGUAUUUUAAUUUAGUUAAUGAAGCAAAAUUCAGUUUAUAUUUCACUAGAACUGUGUACUUGAUUGAUUUUCAGAGAAAUAUCACAAAUUAGAAAUAUUAAAUCUAAGGAUGAAAGGUAUAUAUAAAACAAUUUGGGGGCCAGGCACGAUGGCUCAAACCUGUAAUCCCAGCACUUUGGGAGGCCAAGGCGGGUGGAUCACUUGAGGUCAGGAGUUCAAGACCAGCCUUGGCAAAAUGGCGAAACCCUGUCUCUACUAAAAAUACAAAAAUUAGCCGGGUGUGGUGGCACUUCUCUGUAAUCUCAGCUUCUCAGGAGGCUGAGACAGGAGAAUCGCCUGAACCUGGGAGGCGGAGGUUGCAGUGAGCUGAGAUCAUGCCACUGCACUCCAGCCUGGGUGACAGAGGGGAAACUCCGUCUCCAGGAAAAAAAAAAAACACCAAUUUGGAUACCAAAUUAAUCAACUAAUUUGAGCUAUCUGGCCUUACUCUUAGUAGUUUUUAGUACGUGCUGGACACCACUUUUAAAAAGCAAUCACUGUGCUAGAAAAGUAUAUUGGCUUUGUUAGGAUUAAAGUUCAUUAACUUCAAUGUAAUCAUGCCUCCUAUUACUGAAGUCAGAUUGGAACCACUAAAGAUCCAAACUUUCUGUCUGGUAAUAGAAAGUAAAAAUCUAGACAUCAUUUACAUUUGAGAAAGCUGUUUUUAACAUUAUUUUAAAAUGCCAAAUAUGUUCUUUCUAGAAAAAUAUUUGUUUUUGUUGGAUAGCUUUUAAUUACAUUUCAGAGAGGUGUAAUUUUGGGUAGAUGCUCAUUACAUUUUUGAAAGGUUUACUAUUCCAAAAUAAAGAUUUAGAUGACUGGUGAUACUGGCUUUACAGAAAUUUCAGAGAACUAAUUUUUAAAAUCUUUAGCAUUUAAAACUUUUUUUGUUUUGUUUUCUGACAUAUUCUGACAAAGAGCAGCAAACCACUGCUGUGUGGCAUUCUUGGAGUGUGCUGUGAAUGUGCUUUUUAAGAAAUUAAAAAGAGAUCAUUUUAAAAUUG